UGCUGAGGACCGAAGACUUCCCAGAGGCAUUGACCAGAAGGAUGGAGGUAGAGAUGGGAGUCGGCCUGGAAGGUUAGGAAGUUGAUCUCCCUGCACCCUCUCUUUGGCUCUCUGGUAAAGAUCUACCCGGCUUGAAGGGGCACCUGGGGCCUUGACUGCUCACCUUUGUAAAAGUCACUUCAUGAAGCCUAGCAGCUGCCUGGCAGAUGGACCCUAUCCACAGCCGUCUGCUUCCUGGCUCCUCAUGUGAGAGGCCCUGGGCCUCAUCCUGUCUCCCAUGCCCUCUGAGGACAUCGCUGGCCAGCCCCCAUUGGACCUCUCCAUCUAAAUGUCCUCACAUCCCUGAUGUUAAUAAAGGCAGCA